UACAGAGAGUGCAAGCGUUAAUCGGAAUCACUGGGCGUAAAGCGCGCGUAGGUGGAUAUUUUAGUCGGAUGUGAAAGCCCUAGGCUUAACCUAGGAAUUGCAUCCGAUACUGGAUGUCUAGAGUAUGGUAGAGGGAAGUGGAAUUUCCGGUGUAGCGGUGAAAUGCGUAGAUAUCGGAAAGAACACCAGUGGCGAAGGCGACUUCCUGGACCAAUACUGACACUGAGGCGCGAAAGCGUGGGUAGCAAACAGG
rnacentral:misc_RNA from 1 species